rnacentral:lncRNA from 1 species
ACUCCGGAGCCGGAAAGGCACCGACUGCACCGACCUGCCCGCCGCCUCCGGGGCGGAGCGCACAAAGGGGCAAAGUUUCCCGGCCCGCGCCGCCGCCGCCACCACCGUCGCGGCCGCCGCCGCCGCCGCCUGGGGCUCCCGCCUCCCGGAGCGCCCGGCCCGACCGAGCUCAGCGCGCGGAGCCCCCCGCCCGGGCCGAGGAGGGGACGGCGCAGGAGGAAGGAAGAGGCAGCGGCGGCCGCGGCGGCAGCAGCAGCAGCAAUGAAGGCGUCCGCGGGACUCCCCGCCCCCCGCGCACCGCGGCACGUGCUCGCCCGGGGACUCCCCCGCCCGGGAGGGCGCACACGUGCGGCCCCGCCGAGCCCCGCCGGCCCGGCCGGGCCCCGGGCCGGGCGAGAGGGGGGUGGUUCCCGCGGAGGGGAGGGGUCGGGUGGGCGGCCUGCGAGCGGCUUGGGGCAGGCUCCGGCCCGGCCGCCGCUUCUCUGCACCUGCAGUGGCUCCCACCCACGCGGUCGGCCCUCCCGGGAGGCGGCCGCCCCCUUCGGGUUGGCCACCCUCGCCCUCCGGCGGGGCUGCAGCCGGGGCCGGCGAGGCGGGGUGGGGCACGCGGACCUUCCAGCCUAGGCCCUCGGCCGAGCCUCGCUCGGUGUCCCCACUUCCUGCCACUCCCUGCGGGCCAGAUCUGUCCGGGACAGCCCCGGCGCCCCCGGGAGGCCUGAGCGCCGGGCCCGACUGACCCCCCUGUCCCAGCUGCCGCUGGCUCAUUCCGAGGCAGGACAAUGGGGGACAUCGCGCGUUUGCGUACCGAGUCAGCCUGGCCGGCAAGAAGGGGUUGCUCGGGGGCAGAGGCUAAGGGCACCCUCGCAGGGGUCACGGCCGAAUGCCCUGUCCAGGUGGACCCCACGGCCCUGCCAUCACCAGCCUCCCCCGCGCCGCGCUCGAUUCUUUCGCGUCGAAAACAAAGACUAAUCCGAUACCCCCGCCCUGCCUCCCAGAGGAGGGGGAACGGGCGCGUCGCGGAGGGUAACUGAGGAGGACAGCGUUCAGGAGGGCCUCGGACAGCCUCGAGGGGGCCGUGGGGCGACUAAGCCCUAAAACCCGGCGCAGACACUUUGAAGAGUCACCCUGGGCUACGUUCCAGGCAGGGGGUAAGGGGCAGGGCUCAGGAAUAUUUCCAAGUUGCCAAACUGCCCGUUCUCUCUGCUGCUUUUUUCCCUCACCUGUUGUGCAGGCCAAGUUGAAAUUCCAGGUUAGAUUAAUUCAGCCCCACCCAUCUGGCCUGACUGCCAGGCUGGUGCCUGCAACUGCCUUCCACCUACCUCGGUUGCAGGGGAGCAGGGUGGGUCUCUGACAUACACGCGCACACACACACUCGGGCGAGUCCUGGCAGAAACAGCCACAGGACGGACUGGCCUGACCAGUUUGGGCGGUGCUCACGGAGCCAGGUACCUGGCAGGCGUCGCCGCCCGGCUGCAGCUAACAGCUUAGCCAGAACUGGAAAAAGAGCAUUCGGCCGGCUAUUUAGAAAGAAAGAAAAAAAAGUAACUGAUCUGAAGUAGCGCUGUCCAGAAAGCCCUAGGCGGUAAAGCAGCCCGGGUUCUAUCUGGAACUUCCCUCUGAUUUUGACAGCCUGCUCCAGGGUCCAGGUUGUCAGCGAGGGAGUGGGUGGGGGUGAACAUGGCUGCAAUAUCCACUUCCUACCAUGGCCUUUGGGAGGACUGAAGAGUUUCUGUUCAGGGUAGUAAGACUAGAACCGAGACGAAAAACCAAGAGAGUGCAAUUUUCAAACAGGGGAACAGGUUGCAGACUCGUAAUUGUUUUUAAUGUAAUAUAUUUUUAAUAAGCAACUUUAUUAAUAAAAAAUGUGUAUAAAGAAGACGUGGAGACUACAGAUACUAGAGGGGAAAAAUCACCAAAUUACAACCAUAUUUAACCAUUUGCUAUAUUUCCUUGUAGCCUUUCCUAUUUGUGGAUUUACUCACACUGAUUAUACAAUUUGCCAUCCUCUUUUAACUUAACAUUGUACCAUAGGCAUUUCCCUGUUUGGUAUACAGUUUUCAGAAAGUGUGACAGUGAGGUGAAGAAGAUGGCUCAGGAGCCAGAGAACUCUGGCUUCCAAACCUGAAUCUGCCACUUGGUAACAGUGUGACCUUGGACUAGGUACUCCAUCUUCAAGGGAAUCCAAGUAAAAGACUUAAUAUAGGGCUCAAUGAAUGACAACAACUAAUAUUGUUUAAUCCAUAUGACAACCUUGUGAGGUAGGUACUAUCAUCAAACCCAUUUUAUGGAUAAGAAAACAGAUUAAAUAACUUGCCCAGGAUCACUCAGCUAGUAAGUUGUGGACUUUCAGAGGAGCCCAGCAGCCAUCCUCUUGUAUUCUGUCUGGGUAAAUGGCACCAGCAAGUUACUGUGUCAUUUACUCUUUGCCAGCAAUCUAUGAGAGGGUCAUUUCAUAAAGCCCUCUCGUUUAGGUAACUGGGUGAAUGCUGGUGCCAUUCACUGUGACAAAAUGCAGAAGGAAGGAUGCCUGGGGAUGGAGACAUUCGUGUGAAAGUGAGUGUGCAACUGAGGGGGUGAGGCCUGGGUUUGAGAUUUGGGCCCCAUCAGUGAGCAGACAGCGAGGCCUCAGUUGUGGAGGAGCUCAUCCAGGGUGGAUAUGGAGUGUGAGAGGGAAAGGCUGCCAGGACAGAGCCCCAGGGAAUACCAGCCCAUGAGGGACAGGAGCUGAGAAGGCGCCGCCAGAGAGGUUGGAGGGAACCCAGCCAGGCUAGAGAGCUGCCUGUCAUAUCUUCCCGGCCUCUGGAACCUUACACUUCGGCAGUCCUGUUGCUCAUUCCUUCUGCCUGGGGAAAAACCCUUCCCACCCCACCCCUUCUCAGCUACCCCUUGUACCUGCCAAAUUCCCACUCAUCCUGCAAGUCAUAAGUGCCAGUUCCAUGAAACCUCCAGCUGCUCAGAUGAUUCCAGAGCCCCACCCACUCUCCCUCCACAGAAGUUUGACUCUCCCUGCCUAGGAACAGUUAUCUCAUCGGCGCUGGGCACUGGAAUGGUUUGCAUGUUUCUUUCCCAGUUACUACAAACUCCUGGAAGGGUAGCACGCUGUCUUUCACCUCAUAACCCUAGACCUAGCAACCAACCACUGUGUUGAAUGAAGAGACGAGGUGAGUAGACCCUAAUGAAUGACAGACCCCAGUAACACUGAAGACCCAUAGGCUUCUUUCCUGCUUUCUUUACGACUUGCACAAACUGGUCAGGGGCGCCCAAGAUAAAACAGCCUAAACUCCUCAGGUCCUGCCUUCUGGUUCUCCAGCCUCCUGGGCUGCUGCGGCUAUUCCCAUUCACAUUGCGCUCAGGGCAGGAGAGCAGCGGGGGUGGGCGUAGGGAUAGGGCGAGCCCUUCCUGGGGCUGCAUUAGCCUAGACGCAGUGGUUCCGCCAAGAGAGCCCCGGCACCAGCAGCAUCACCAUCUCCUGGGAACUGGCUAGAAAUGCAAGCUCUCGGCCCCAUCCUAACCCCACUGAAUCAGAAACCCUGGGGGCGGGCCCAGCAAUCUGUUUUAAUUAGUCCGUCAGGUGAAGUCAAGUUAGAGCAGCACUGGACUACAGCAAGCGGGGGAGAAGGAAGUUCAGCACCCAGGUGGAGACUGCGAUUAGGCCCCCAAGGCGCUUAGAGCAGACAGAGGGAGAGAGGCUCCUUUUAGGAGCGGGUUUGGCGGGCGCCACCCCAAGCGGCCAAGGGCGGAGCCUCUUUUAGGCGACUGCUCCCGCGAGGUCAGAGCCGGGCUGUGCCGCUGCCCCCGGGACUAGAAAGGGAAAUCUCCUUGCUAGAGGAGGAAGCCCUAAGAACUCAAGGGAGAUAGGGGUGGCAGGGGCAUUUCCCUGGAUGCCUGGAGCAUGGAGGGUGCGAAAUAAGGAGGCUUUCCUACCCCAUUGAUGAGCUGAAGUUGAUUCCGCACGGGGGAGGAAAGGGACAGGAAGCAUAAUUGGAUGUGCAAGCCUGUGGUUCUUCAGGAAGUUAACACGUGGAACUAACACUGUUGGAUGCUGCUGAACUCUCAGGUGAUUGAUGUGACUAACCUCCUCAGGUACUUGACCUCUCUCCUCUUCAGCUAAUGAGUAAUUUGUCCUUAUUUAAGAAUGAGAUUUGCGUAUGGGGACCUUUUGCAGAAAUGUAAAUACAUCCCGAUAUCCAUACCUGGGCUUGGUUUUAAAGACUGAAGGUAUUGGGAGGUUUAUUUGAUUUUGGAUGUAUUACUUCUUUGGUCAUGUAUUGGCUAAAAAUAUUAUCAACUAAUAUUUGCAUAGAUCUUUCCCUUUUCAAAGCACUUCCACACACAUUAUCCUUCUGUCUGCACAGAGUGGCAAAUACAACAAAUGUGCAAAUGUUAACUUUCCUUAUCUAUGACAUAGUUUUUAUUAUCAUCACCAUUUUACAGAUAAGAGAACUGGCGCUCAGUGAGGUAAUUUGUCCAAGGUCAUUCACUACUACAUGUCAGAAUCCAGGACCUACAAUCCAGGACCUCUGAAAUUAGCCCACGAAUGCUAGAGCUGAUACCAGGCAGAAGCUGGCAUUUUGCUCUCAGGGAAAGGGAGGUUCAUUAGUGGGUUGCUUGUGGACCUGCAUUGGUGAGUGUGACACGUGUAGGAUAUCUAUGCUAUGCGUUUUUGGGUUUUUUGUUUUGUUUUGGUUUUGGGUUUUGGUUUUUUUUUUUUCUUUGAGAUGGAGUCUCACUCUUGUCACCCAGGCUGAAGUGCAGUGGCGCGAUCUGGGCUCACUGUAACCUCUGCUGCCCAGGUUCAAAUGAUUCUCCUGCCUCAGACUCUCGAGUAGCUGGGAUUACAGGCACCUGCCACCGCGCCCAGCUAAUUUUUGUAGUUUUAGUAGAGACUGGUCUUGAACUCCUGACCUCAUGAUCCACCCACCUCGACCUCCCAAACUGCUGGGAUUACAUGAGUGAGCCACCGCGCCCGGCUACUACGUUUUUCAAUAGCCCCGCAAAUGUCCUCAUGUUUUAUAACUAGUUUUGUGACUGCAUUUUGAAUUUUUUGAAUCAAAUAGGCUUCAUUACUUGCAAGGAGAAUGCAAGGGUACCCAUCAUAAUGGAAGGAAUACCCAACAGGGAUAAAGGCCUUGGUGCCCCUGAGCCUUGGUUGACAGGGUGUAUCAGUCAGGAUCAGUUAGAUUGUGCUGGAGUAAUAGACAAUCCCCAAAUCACAGUGGCUUUACAUAACAAAAGUGUAUUUCUCAAUCACAAAACGUGUCCAUUAUGAGUCAUUAGGAGCUCUGUUUCCCGUAAUCACUCGGGCAUCCAGGCUGCUGCAACUGGACAUGCAUCUCCUCAACCCUGAAGGCAGGAAACAAGAAUGGGGCAAAUCUAGCACUGGCUCUUAAAGCUUUUCCCUGGAAGUGACACACAUCACUCCUGCUGUCAUCUCACUGGCCAAAGAAAGUUACAAGGGGGCAGGGAAGUGCAAUAAGUACAAUCCUGCUAUGUGCAGGAAGGAUAAGCAGAAGUAUUUGGUUAACAGCACUAACACACAGGGAGUGUGUGUGAGUGUGUGAAUGUAUAUGUGUAUAUUUGAGGUAUGUGCAAUUACACAUACUGCCCAUUUCCAGAGCAUUCCUCCCUCCUGGCGACACAUAUUAGAGAUUCCUAGUGUAAAGGACUGUCUUACCUUGCACUAGAGCAGGUUCAGAGAUUUAAACUAAAGCGAAAAAAAAUAAGAGUUGAAGGAAACAUAGUAGAAGAGGUGAGUGGCUGUGGGACAAACUCAGUAGAAAUUCGUUUGUAAAUAGAGAAAGAAAUCCAGGAAAGGAAGGUACUCAGGGUGUAUGACACAAGGAGCCUGCCUACUAAAGGAAACUUCUAAAACAGCGUAGCUUUAGCAGAGGCGUUUCCUGCCGCCUUGCCAUUAACUCCCACUCAUCCUUCCUGGUUAAACUCAGGUGACGCUUCAGGAAGCCUUUGAUGAUCUCUCAAGAUUGGGUAAGGGGCCCACCAAUCAGAUCACAGGUAUGCCUGGGUCUGUCCCAUCCCCUCAGCUGUGGACAGGACCACAUCUUACUCAGUGCCAGCUGCUAUAUAGAGAAUACAUUAGAGGAGGGUGUCAGAAUAGAGGCAGAGAGAGCAGCUAGAAGGCUGUUGCAGAAACCUAAGUGAGAAAACAAAAAUGAUGGUCUCCAUUAGGGUAGUGGUGGUGGGGAGGGAGAGAGGUAUCAAGAAAGAUUUACGAAGUCAAACCCACAGGACGAGGGCAUAGGAAGGGAGGUUUCUGGAAGAACAACAGGGUAGUUGGUAGUGCCAGGGGGCCCAGAGAAGGUGGAAGUUGAUCAAUGAGGUCAGCAAGAACACAUCCCAUUUGAGGUCCAUUUUGACAGCGCCCACAGAGAGACCCAGGAGCAGCCCCUGUCACAGCCUGAGAUUCCGGGGGGGGGGAGGGGGGCGGUGGAAACCAGGUCCUAUGAGCUGCCUCUUGGUUAAACUCUAACAUCGAAUCAAGGUUAGUAUUUUCUUGUUUAAAAAAAUAUCAAGCCGGGCCUGGUGGCUCACGCCUGUAAUCCCAGCACUUUGAGAGGCCAAGGCAGUCGAAUCACUUGAGCUCAGGAGUUCAAAACCAGCUUGGGCAAUAUAGUGAGACCUCAACUUUACAAAAAAAUUAGCCAGGUGCAGUGGUGCACACUUUGAGGUGAGAGGAUCACUUGAGCCCGGGAGGUUGAGGCUUCAGUGAGCCAAAAUUGUGCCAUUGCACUCCAGCCUGGGCAAUGGAGUGAGACCCUGUCUCAAAAAAAAAAAAAAAAAAAAAAGUAUGUGUGUUGGGGGAGCGGGAAACACAGAAAAUACAUAUAGUAUAAAAGUGGUGAAAUUCCUGAACUACACAUCAUAGGAAUCCAUUCAGAACAGUGCUUUAUAGAAAGAGCAGAGCAUCCCUGAAAGAUUGGUUCAACUUCAAUUGGCUUGUCCCCUGAUCUUGUUUCCAUGUGUUGUUUCUGUCCCAUCUCCUGCUAAGUAGGAGCCUGCUUGUCCCAUUUGAGACUUGAAGAUGAUAUCAACCCCUUUCACCUUCGAGGCUUCCCUUCCUCAUGGCCUUUUGUGGGUGAGGAUUGAGUCCCAUUUGUAGGUACUUGACAGUGCUGGGGCACCCAUCCUCAGAGACCCUGUUCUUCCCACUUGGAUGUAGUGCUCCCCUAUCCCCCACGAUAUCUUCCCCCUUCCCCAUGCACUGAGAUGCUCCCGCUGGUUCCUCGAGUUCCAUUUUCAGCUCCUGUGUGUACCAGUUUUUGGCUGCAGGUGAGGUAACUCCCCCCUCCUGGCCUCCUUCCAAUCUCUAAAGAUGGGACUCAUGAUACCUCCUAAGCAGACUCCUUUGCAGAGGAUCGAAUGAAGCCAACCUAUGCCAAAGUCCCGCCUCAGACCUUGGUGGACAGUAGGCACUCAAACUGUCCUAUACUUUCAUUUCCAUUGAGUCCCCUGAUUCUUCCUCCCACUUAUCAGAGAAAUGGUCUUACCCUAGUCUAGCCAUAGGUAACCAUGACAACCAGAGUUAAACUAUAUACAAUAAUCAAUGCAGACAUUAUGUAUUACAGAGGGUCAUCAGAUAUAAUGGCAUUCAGGUGCCCAGGAUAAGAUUUGAUAUUAAGUAGGAGCCCCUAGCCAGCCUCCCCAGGUGGAGACAGUUUGCCAAGUGCCUCCCUUGUUCUCUCUUUCCCUGCAUAUUCAAUCAACACUAGGUCCUACCAGCUCCAGACUAAACUGUCCUGAACUGGUGCCCUUUCUCAGGCUUCCUGCUCUCCCCUUUUCAGCCUGCCUCCCUUCCCCUCACUCUGUAGUUUCCCCUCACUCUGUAGUCUCCCCUCUCACAGACACAGAUUUCGUUGCCGUUGAUUCAGACCUCCUGGGCGUGGGCAGGCAGGGUCCUGGAAUUGAGAUGACGAAGUGUCUGGGCCAUCCUGUAGCCAGUCAGGAAUAUAAGUUUCAAACUCCUGCUACUCAAAGUGUGGUUGGUCUGUGGGCUUGCAGCAGCGGUACCACUGAGAGUUUCUGGAAGUGCACUAUCUCAGCAGGCCUCAGAGCUACUGAAUCAGACUUUUUUUGUUUUUUGUUUUUUUCCUCAAGAGACAGGGUCUUACUCUGUUGCCCAGGCUGGAAUGCAGUGGCCUGAUCAUAGUUCACUGCAGGCUUCAACUCCUGGGCUCAACUGAUCCUCCUGCCUCAGCCUCCUCAGUAGCUAGGGCUACAACUGUGUGCUACCCACCCUGGACUAAUUUUUAAUUUUUUUGUCUCACUAUGUUGCCCAGACCAGUCUCAAACUCCUGGCCUCAAACCAUCCUCCCACAUCAGCCUCCCCAACUGUUGGGAUUAUAGGCAUGAGCCACUGCACCUGGCCAGAAUCUGCAUUUUGACAAGACUUUCAGGUGAUUCCUAGGCACCCUAAUAAUUAAGAAGCUCUGCUUUAAAAUCCCUCAGAAGGUAGAGUUAGUUAGGAUAGAGAUAAAAAGGACACAGGCAUCCCUCGUAGAGCUGGGAGAGGCCUUCUUGGAAAUGCCUGCACUAAUAGAUCGAGUCAUAUGGUGUUAACACCAGCAUCAUUCUGGGGAGAUACGCUGUAUUCUCAACAUUGUACUAUUUAUCUGCUAAACCAGGGAGGGAUGUGAUUAGCAGAUGUCUCGGUCUUCUUGCCAUUCUUUAGGACAUCGACAUGACACCCAGCCAUCUCAAACCAUGUUAAAAUUGAAUUUUAACAUCCAGCCUCUAGAAAACAAUCUAUUUAUAGUGAAUCAAAAAUCUGUAAGAUAGGCCAGGCGCGGUGGCUCACACCUGUAAUCCCAGCACUUUGGGAUGCCGAGGCGGGCAGAUCGCUUGAGGUCAGAAGGUUGAGACCAUCCUGGCCAACAUGAUGAAACCCUGUCUCUACUAAAAAUGCCAAAAAUUAGCUGGGCAUGGUGGUACGUGCCUGUAGUCCCAGCUACUCGGGAGACUGAGGCACAAGAAUCGCUUGAACCCGGGAGGCAGAAGUUGCAAUGAGCCCAGAUAACACCAGUGUACUCUAGCCUGGGCGACAGAACAAGACUCUGUCUCAAAAAAAACAAAACAACAACAACAAAAAAAAAAACCUGUAAGAUAGAAAAUAGGGUGUUAAAAGCUGAAAGAGGCCAAAGGGGAACUGACAGAUUGGCCACUCGGACAGGAGCAUGCAGCGGACCAAAGGCAUGUGAGCGAGGUGAUGGUGGCCACUCAGAUCCAUAGACCCAUGAGCAGCUUCAUGGCUGCUAGAAAAAAAGAGGAAGAAGGACAAUGAAGUGCAGGAAGCCUGGAAGCAACCCAUGAAGUCUGGGUGAAGAGCUUAGGUUUAUAAGCACAUGGCUGAUCUGUGUAGAAAAGGUAAAUGCAGUGUUUUUGUUGUUGUUGUUGUUUUGUUUUUGUUUUUUAAUGUCUCAGGGGCACAAGGGAGAGGCUGCCCCUUGGCCAUGAGAACCCUCUUUGAAGGUAAACAGGUAAAUUCCUUUAUGCAGCAUGUUGCCAGGUCUGCUGCUUCCUGUGGGCACUCCUGGGGCAAGGGCACCAACAUUAAGACUGAGAGAAAAACCACAGGAUUAGGGUUGUCAGAUUUAGCAAAUGGAAACACAGGACUUCCAGUUGAAUUUGAGUGUCAGAUAAACAACAAAUAAUUUUUUAGUAUACAUAUGUCCCAAAUAUUACAUGCCAGAGUAACCCUCCUCAAGAGCAGAGCCUGUCCCCGAAGCACUUGACCAGGAGAAACUUGAGCUGAAGGAAAGUUUCUCCCUAGGGCUGAGAGAGCCCAGUGGUACUAUCCUAAGACCCACCCUAUUUUUCAAAACAGGAUGGAAGUGGGCUUUGUUAGUUUUGGGGUGGGGCAGUCUUUUGUGAGAGGCUAUGCCAUAUUGUUUGCUUUGUAAAAUGUUUUGCCCUGCAAAAUGUUUUUUACGUUAUGCUGUAUUGGGCAAGGUAGUUCAAGGAACAUACACCAUAAAAGCAGUGUAGUUUUGAUAAUUCCAAGUCAGAUUCCUGUAGGAGAUGGACAGUUUCUUUUUUCUUUUUCUUUAUUUUUUUUGAGACGGAGUCUCGCUCUGUUGCCCAGGCUGGAGGGCAGUGGCGCAGUCUCGGCUCACUGCAAGCUCCGCCUUCUGGGUUCACGCCAUUCUCCUGCCUCAGCCUCCUGAGUAGUUGGGACUACAGGCGCCCGCCACCACAUCCGGCUAAUUCUUUUGUAUUUUUAGCAGAGACGGGGUUUCACCGUGUUAGCCAGGAUGGUCUCGAUCUCCUGACCUCGUGAUCCACCCUCCUCGGCCUCCCAAAGUGCUGGGAUUACAGGCGUGAGCCACUGCGCCCGGCCAGGAGAUGGACAGUUUCUUAGUCCGGAACAAUAAAAUCCCAUGUAGCCAGAUAAACUGCUUCUAUAUAACCAGGCAUUUAUUUAUUGAGACUUGUAGAAGAAAAUGUUGGUAACAAUUUACCUCAUCAAGGAACAUUUCUAAGCAUAAAAUCAAUAAAUCCUUUUGUAUGUCAACAAACCAAAUUAAAUGAUAAACUGAGGAAAAAUAUUUACAAAACAAAUGAACAGGAAAGGUGUUAUAUACUUAGUAGGUAAGAAAAGAUGGACACUCAAAAGGGAACAAAAAGGCAAAGGAUGUGAACAUUCACAAAAGAAGGAAUGCAAAUGGCCAAUAAAGACAUAAAAUGUCCAGGCCCGGCAUGGUGGCUCAAGCCUGUAAUCCCAGAACUUUGGGAGGCCGACGUGGGCAGAUCACCUGAGGUCAGGAAUUCGCGACCAGCCUGGCCAACAUGGUUAAACGAAACCCUGUCUCUACUAAAGAAAAAUACAAAAAUUAGCCAGGCAUGGUGGUGUUCCCCUGUAAUUCCAGUUACUCGGGAGGCUGAGGCUGGAGAACUGCCUGAGCCUGAGAGGUGGAGGUUGCAGUGAGCCAAGAUUGUGCCACUGCACUCCAGCCUGGGCCACAGAGCAAGAUUCCAUCUGAAAAAUAAAAUAAAAUAAAAUAAAAACUUUAUUAAUUAAUAACUAUAGCAAACUGGCAGAUCACAAAAUAGAAAUACUCAGUUUUGCAAAGACUAUAAGGAUCUAAGUACAAGGAUCUUCUUGGAGGACUUAUAACAGCAAAAAAAAUUAAAUUAAAAUAAACUUAAAUGUUCACAUUAAAGAAUGAUUAAGGCCAGGUCCAUGGCUCACACCUGUAAUUGCCACACUUUGGGAGGUCAAGGCAUGAGGAUCACUCAAGCCCAGGAGUUUGAGACCAGUCUGGGUGACAUAGGGAGACCCCAUCUCUACAAGAAAAAAAAAAGAAAAAGAAAAAGAAAAAAAAAUUAGCUGGACAUGGUGGGUGUGCCUGUGGUCCCAGCUGCUCUGGAGGCUGAGAUGAGAGGAUUUUUUGAGCUCAGGAAAUUGAGGCUACAGUGAGCCAUGAUUGUGCCAUUGCAUUCCAGCCUGGGUGACAGAGCAAAAUACUGUCUCAAAAAAAUUACAUAAAAUAUACACGAGGAUUGGAAGCAAAUAUAUCAAAAUAUAAACAUUGGGUCUCUGGAUUAUUUUUGUUUUUUUCUUAAUACCUGUUUUCCCUAAAAUUUCUACAACAAAGAGGUAGUAGCAUUCCUAUCAUUGAAAAAUAGAGAAUUAUGUUUGAAAAAGAAGACAAGUGGACCAUCAAUGCCUUUAAGUAGGUCUUUGAGAGAGAAGGAAGCAAAUUCUGAUAAUUCUCUAAUAGAAUGACCAAGACUUUUCACAGAGGAAUCACUUGGAGAACUUGAGGAAUACCAAUGCCAAGGCCCCACUUCCAGAGAUUCUGGUCGUAUGGACCUGGUGCCCACCCCAUGGGGUCUUUGGCAAUGUCAGGUCAUGCCCCGAGGCGUGGGGACUCCAAUGUGAAGCCAGGCUGGGAACAACUGCUUGCAGGAGUGAUCAGGAGUUUUGGAGUUUAGGAUCCUGUGGCCUGUUGGAGGAGCUGCUGCAGGAGGAACGGCAAGACCUGGUUUCAAGCCUAGUAAGUGGUCCUUUAGGCACAUAAUUUAAGUGAAUCUUUGUGUGUCUAUCUGUAAAAUGAGAAUAUUUAAUGUCUACCACAAGAGUUGUGGCUUCGAGGAGAGGAUAAAUGAGGAAGUAGUGUGUGAAAUAGAAAGCAUAUACAAAUGUACUCUUGUUAGAACCUGGAAAUUCAGACUAUAGCAAUGACUUUUGAUCAGUGGAAUAUCCUUGACAACACUGGGGCAGAUGCAAAUAAGCAGGUUUGUUUCAAAACUGUCCAUCCUAUAAUUUGAUUUGAUUUGCAGAUCUUUUAGGCAGGUGCUCUCAAACGUGGAUGCCUGGGGCAGUCCUAGCCAGAGGGCUCAUGAGCAGGGGACAGCAGCCAAUAGAUCUGGGUUGGUUCAGAUCAUUUGGUCGUUCCUGCUUUGAAAAGUGGCUGGUCUCCAGGAGUCAAAACCUUGUUCUCCUGACAAUGUGCCUUUGCACUUUUAACAAACACACCAGAAUGUCUACUUCCAAAUAAAUAUUCUUAUCUAAAUUGUUUCCUUGUGAGGUUGUAUUACCAUAGCUUAAAAUGUCUUGGGAAUUCCUCGUUUGAGAUUGCCUUUAUCUAAGCUACAUCUCUUUUUUCUGAGUAUUUUCAAUCAGUGAAUUUAUUCUCCAUCCUCUGAAGAAGAGCUUAAUUUUAGAAAGCAGCCAAAAAUAUCUUUCAGAACCAAACCUGGUGAUUAAGGUGGUAGUCUAACCUAGGUAAGACAUUUUAUUUUUUAAGUAGAAAGGUCACUUGUAAGGUACAUGUGUAUCUGUCUUGCUACUCACUGUACUCUGUGCCUGACAUACAGACACUCAGUGUGUUCUUGUUGAAUGAUGAACAGAGCCUGGCUCUACUGGGACCCAUAAACUGGCUCCAAAGGCAACUCCGAAGAGGUUUUUGAGCAACGCCAGCCUAUUUGGCAAUAAUAAUUUUUAGCCUGUAUGUUGAUUAGAAGUCAGUCCCUUUCCUUUAUAAGUAUUCUACAUCUAUACCUUAUGCAUUUGAUCAAGGAGAAACUGUGGUAGUUCCUUGUACCUUACUGAGGCUAAUGCUGGACUUAGUCUUCUAAAGCAAGCACUAAUCAGUGACAUUGGACAAAUCCAGGCAUUUUUGGAAUUAUUUUGCAUGCCAACCCAAACCACAGAACAUCUGAGCAUGUGGUGGGUUAACAAGGACAAUGCCUGAAACCCAACUCACUUUUUCACACAAUGAUUUCAAGAUGCUGACAUUUGAGGUGUACAGAGUUAAGCAGCUCAUAGGCAGGGCAGCAAGCACUGGCUUGAGUGUCAGGACACCCGGGCUAUUCCAGCUCUGCUGCUAACUAGCUGUGUCUGCUUGGGAAAAACGUGUCUUACACACUCCCAUCUGUACAAACACACCCUUAGUCUUUAUUUACGUACCUAUACAAUGAUCUAGCACCAUUAAAAUCAUCAUUCUAAACUGAAAAAAGGCAGACAACAGUAGACACCCCACCGGCAAGGUCUGCCCAAGUACUGGGGAGAUUUUUGGUGCUGCAAAAACCAGUUUGAGGCCGGGCUCCGUGGCUCACACCUGUAAUCCCAGCACUUUGGGAGGCCGAGGCGGGUGGAUUGCUUAAGGUCAGGAGUAUGAGACCAGCCUGACCGACGUGGUGAAACCCUGUCUCUACUAAAACUACAAAAUUAGCCGGGUGUUGUGGCGCAUGCCUGUAAUCCCAGCUACUCUGGAGGCUGAGGUGGGAGAAUCACUUGAACCUGGGAGGAGGAGAUUGCAGUGAGCUGAGAUCGCACCACUGCACUCCAGCCUGGGUGAGAAAGCGAGACUCCAUCUCAAAAAAAAAAAAGCCAACAACAACCACCACCACCACAAAAAAAACCCAGUUUGAGCAGAGAGAAAGUCUCUGCUCUGAAGGAGAAAAAAAGCCAAAGAUGAAGCUCACUGCUGCUGGCACUGAAACUGAAGGGAACACGCAGGUCAUCUGAGGUCAAGUUCAGGGCAUGCAGCCAGCCACCAGGCAGGAAGGAAGCAGAGUGAAUGCCUGCCUGCUCUCCCAGCCCUCCACCUUCUGAGCAGAAGUCCCACACCGGUCCCCUUUGCUGGGUCUCCCAAGGGACCUCAGAGACUCCUUCCAGACCCGGGCAUUUGGGCUCUGGCCUCAAAGAUACAGCCUACGUAGAAAUGCUGAAAGAAACAGAUAAGACAACAGUGUGAGCAAUGGAGGCUUGGCUGGCCUGGCUUGUCUUUGCCAAGCACUCUAUUUAAAACAUUUGAGCAUUUCUUGCCUGCUAUUGCCCUCUACUCUAGCCUUGCGGUCUCCCUGCCCAACCCCACCCCCUCACAGGCUCUUUUCUUAGCUCCCUGCCUUUGCUUAUGGUGUUUACUCCAAAUCACCCUCAACCCAGUCUUGCUCUAAAAAUCCUACUUCACUUAAUGCCCAGCUAGAAUGCCAUGUAAUCCAGGAAGCUCCUUAGCUGGAAGCAGCACUCAUUUUGGUCCACAGUGGUAUCACGCUUAGGGGCAUGAGGUCUGAUCCCACAAGGACCUCGACGCACCCCACCCUUCACCAUCACAUCCUGUGUGUUCCUUCCUUUGCCCAUGCUGCUCCCCUGCUUGGACCGUCCUUCCCACCCUACCUGCCCGAAUGGUCCUCACCUCACCCUUCAAGGCUCAGCUCAGCUGUACUUUGUGAAGCACUCACCAGCUCUUUCUUUCUCUCCACUCACAUGCACCUACCAGUUCCAUUUACUGAGUGGCUACUCUGCCCAGAAGUUUGUCUACAAUAUUUCUAAUUCUUGGUACCACUUGAAAAAUAGUUGCAAAAUUAGUUUCAUUUUCAGAUUUAAGGAAAACAGAAGCUCAGAGAGGCAAGUUGUCCAAGUUGCGCUGCUGGUGAGUGGCCCAGCCAGGAUUUGGAACCAGAUUUGUGUGAUGUCUAAACCCAAGUCCUCCAUGUACUCCAUGCUGCUUAUUCAUUCAUAAGGUGGAUAUUUUAAGCAGGAGACUGUCAGGACCUUAAAGAUGGUCUUCCUUGCUUUCAAAGCAAGGGACCUAAAAUAUAGAGAUGUUCAGUGACUUGCCCAGGGUGAUACAGUUUCUCCCAAUCCCCUUCUCUGAUUCCUCCCAUGUGCCAGCGCUGGUGGCCAGGGAACUAUCUAUCACUGCAGAGGCUGUCCAGUACCAGGUAACGUUUGUCCGGGGUCCCCAGUCGUAAGCCAUGGGGCACACACCUGCACUGCAAGCAGGGCCCCAAAUUAGGCAAGAGAGAAUGUUGCAACAAGCUCAGAGCCACAGGAUAUAUUAGCACAAUUGUAUACAAUGAUAAAAUCCUAAACAGUGGCUUCAAAGUUUAUAGCUUUCUGGCCAGGCAUGGUGGUGGCACAUGCCUGUAAUCCCAGCUACUCGGGAGGCUGAGGCAGUAGAAUAGCUUGAAACCAGGAGGUGUAGGUUGCAGUGAGCUGAGAUUGCACCACUGCACUCCAGCCUCGGUGACAGAGCAAGGUUCUGUCUCAAAAAAAACAAAACAAAAGUAGUUUACAGCUUUCUCAUGUAGAAGUCUGAGGAGAGAGUCCAGGGCUAAAGUUGCAGUUCUGUGAAGUCAGGGCCUGAGGCUUCUUCUGUCUUUUGCAAUUCUCUCUUUAUGAGGCACUUCAUGAUUCAAAGUGGCCUCCAGGAUCAUGGGGGAGGGGGUGGCUCUGAGGGCAGAAUCAAAGGGCUCAUCAUCAUCAUCUAUUUCUACCAUCCGUUCUAAGGAUCUUACAGUCACGUAAUCUAGUCCAGAGUCAGAGAGGCUGCUCAGAGCCCACCUGCAGCUGGCCUGGGUCUUAGCGAGUACGUAGCUAAGUAUGUUAGCAAGUAUGUUGCUCGCAGCAUGGAGGGGUAAGGGUGUGGGAGGUGUUUCAUUGCUUAGUGCAAGGGGUCUUUCUCAGGCUCAGCCUGCGUCCCUUUUUCUUCUUUCUUCCUGCUUUCCAUUUGUCCAGUAUCUAUUGAAUUACCCACUCCCAUGUGCCAGGCACUGGAGAUACAAAGUGGGAUAAGACAUAAGCCAUGCUCUAAUAAAGAGACAAAGAGAUGAUUUUAGACCAGGCAUGGUGGCUCACACCUGUAAUCCUAGCACUUUGGGAGGCUGAGGCGAGUGGAUCACCUGAGGUCAGGAGUUUGAGACCAGCCUGGCCAACAUGGCAAAACCCCAUCUCUACUAAAAAUACAAAAAUUAGGCGGGCAUGGUGGCGGGCACCUGUAAUCCCAGCUACUCUGGAAGCUAAGGCAGAAGAAUCACUUGAACCCAGGGGGUGGAGGUUGUACUAAGUCGAGAUCACACCACUUCACCACUCCAGCCUGGGCGAUGAGUGAGAUGCCGUCUCAAAAAAAAAAAAAAAAAAAAAAAAAAGACAGAGAGAGAUGAUUUUAAUACUAUGUGUAAGAAAAACAGAUAAAUGCAAAAGGCAUUUGACAGGAGCUCGAAGGGAGGUGCCUGACACAGCCAGGGUAGAGUCAGCAGAAGCUUCCUGAAGAUGGCAAUUGGGGAUGCCGAGGGGCUUAGAGGUGAAGGGCACUCCAGGGAGAGCGCACAGCAUGAGCAAAAGCAAUGAGAGUGUGUGUGUGUGGGGGGGUAGGGCAACCAUGAGUUUAAUGUAAACACAAGCAGAGGAGGGUUUGGAAGGAUGUGUGCUUGCUCAGGGCCCCCGGGGGGCCAAAGGCACAUUCUGGAGGCACCUGGUGGCGUUCAAGGCCCUCUGGCUCCUCUGUGGAGUAGGGAUUUGGGGAGGCCAUAGCAAGAGGCAGAGAGCCUGGGUGGGAGGGCUGGGUUAGGAGUGGAGGUAGGAGAGCAGGCAGAUCUGAGAAAUGUUAGCGGGAAAUUGGUAGCACCAGACAUUUGCCUGGCUGCUGGAGAUGAGUGACAGAGAGGAGUCAGAGGAUCCUAGUUUUCUAGCUGGGUGGCUGGAAGGAUGAUGGGGUCACUGCUGAUAUAGAGAAUACAGGAUCUACUGUCAUGCCACCCUGAAUGCACCUGAUCUCAUCUGAUCUUGGAAGUUAAGCAGGGUCGGGCCUGGUUAGUAUUGGAUAAGAGAAUAAUACAGGGUCUUCUCCCAGAAACCUUUCUUGCCUUGGGGAAUACUCCCAGCUUCACAGUAGGAUAUAACCUUUCCUAUGUUGCCUUUUGCAUAGCUGAUCUUAAAGACAUGCACAUGGGCCCUUUUCUUUCCUUCCUUCCUUCCUUUUUUUUUUUUUUUUUUUUUUGACAGAGUUUUGCUCUUGUAGCCCAGCCUAGAGUGCAGUAGCAAGAUCUCAGCUCACUGCAACCUCCACCUCCCAGGUUCAAGCGAUUCUUCUGCCUCAGACUCCCAAGUAGCUGGGAUUACAGGUGCAUGCAACCACGCCCAGCUAAUUGUUUUUGUAUUUUUAGCAGAGACAGGGUUUCACCAUGUUGGUCAGGCUGGUCUCGAACUCCUGACCUUAAAUGAUCCACCUGCCUUGGCCUCUGAAAGUGCCAAGAGAUUACAGGUGUGAGCCACCAUGCACGGCUGGGCCCUUUUCAUUUGAAAGAUUUUAAUUCAAGUGUCCUCAGGAGAUGAAGUUCCCUUCACUCUGGUGUAGUGAAUGAAAUAUAGGAACACAGUUUGUACCAUGGAGUCUCCAGGCCAAACCAAGCUGGAGUUUCAGCUUAGGUAACAAAUGUUACCUAAGCCCAGUGGUUCCUAAUGGAAGAUUUGGUUCUAGAAAACCCAUCUGUAGUAAACAUCUGCCAUUCUUUUUGGAGAACUAGUAAAUCAUUCCCCUUCCUGUGUCUGAGGACUUAUUCACCUUGGUUGGGGAUAGACCCCACCUCUCACAACGAAGAUGUGAUGUCAGAUACUGUAUUUCUCAGACUCCCUUGCACGUACUUGGCAUGUCAAGGGCAUGUGGUCUAGGUUCUGCAAGUCAGAUGUACCUACCAGAGUCUUGGGUCCAUGAGGAGUAUUCUGUGACAGCAGUAGUAAUGACAGGGAAAUCACAUUCUCAUAACAGCCAUAGUGGACCCUCCUGGGGACUUGCAAGUGAUGCACCCUAAAACCUAAGCUUCCUUAGGUUCACAGUAACUUCCUGCUGUUUGCGAUUAAGGACUGUGACUAGUGGCAUAUCAGUCCAACAGGGUACAUGGCUAAGGCAAAAGUGGAGUCUAGGAGAGCACAGACAUUGUUAAGAGGACAGUAAGUGAAACCAUUUAGCAAGAACAGAGGAUUCUUUCACAGGGGUGGGGAAAGAUAAGGCUGGAGGGCUCCAAAAGCCCACUUAAGGAGCCUGGUCAUCAUCUUCUAAGAGGUAUCAACAUUGUUUUAAUGAUUUUUAUUUUGGAAUAAUUUUAGAUUUACAGAAAAAUUGCAAAGACAACACAGAGUUUCUGUGUAUCCCUCAUCCAGAUUCCCCUAAUGCUAACAUCUCACAUGACAUGGUACACUUGUGAAAACUGACAAGUUACAUCAAUUAAACUCCAGACUUGAUUUGGAUUUCACUAGUAUUUUCCACUAACGAACUUGAUCUGUUCCAGGAUCCAAUUCAGGAUACCACUGUGCAUUUGGAUACCAACUUUUUUUUUUUUUUUUUGAGUUGGAGUUUCGCUUUUGUUGCCCAGGCUGGAGUGCAAUGGCACCAUCUUUGCUCACCACAACCUCCGCCUCCUGAGUUCAAAUGAUUCUCCUGCCUCAGCCUCCCAAGCAGCUGGGAUUACAGGCAUGCGCCACCACACCCAGCUAAUUUUGUAUUUUUAGUAGAGAUGGGGUUUCUCUAUGCAGACUGGUCUCGAACUCCAGAUCUCAUGAUCUGCCCACCUCAGCCCCCCAAAGUGCUGGGAUUACAGGUGUGAGCCACCACGCCCGGCCACCAACAUUUUUAAAGAAGAAUAUUAACAUGAUUAAAGGUUUUUAGGCUGGGUGUGGUGGCUCACACCUGCAGUCCCAGCACUUUGGGAGGCUGAAGUGCGUGGAUCACUUGAGGUCAGGAAUUUGAGACCAGCCUAGCCAACAUGGUGGUGUUUACUAAAAAUACCAAAAAAAAAAAAAAAAAAAAAAUUAGCCAGGCAUGGUAGUGUGCACCUGCAGUCCCAGCUACGUGGGAGGCUGAGGCAGGAGAAUCACUUGAACCCAGGGGGCGGAGGUUGCAGCGAGCUGAGAUCAUGCCACUGCACUCUGGCCUGGGCGACAGAGCAACGCUGUCUCAAAAAAUAAAAAUAAAAAUAAAUUUAAAAAAAAUAAAGGUGUUUUAAGAAAAUCAUCUGAUAGCAACAUAAAGGGUGAGCUGGGAAGUGGAGUAGAAGGCAUCUGUAAAGACACUCCAGAACCUUCACCAAGCUUCCACAUACAUUCUAAUGGCUAGUGCCUGAAGGGCACUUUAUGAAGGUGCAGUUGCUGAGAAGAGAAAAUCUAGCCCCCCAGAAACAUCUCUCCACCUGUUCAGGGACCCAGGGGCCAAAGGCACAGCUAAGAUGCACCUGGUGGCCUCCACCUAGCAGUGCUGGCAAACUAGGUUUUCCUGCCCAGGCUACAAAAUUUGGCUGGUAAAUCCAGACAGGCAGCCAAGGAAAUGCUUGCUUGCCUUCUUUUCUGAAAAUCUAGUCUUAUCUCCCUUAUGUAAUGGUUUGGUGUUAUGCAGAGAACAGGCUCUGGAGUCAGGAUGGACCUAGGUGUGAGUCCCAGCGCUGUCAGUUACUGUGGGACUCUCGUUGAGUUACUGAACUCUGAGCUUCAGUUUCCUCACUGGUAAAAACUGGCACCUUAAACCUCCUUCACAGGAUUAUUGAGAGGGUUGAAUAACAUUUAGAAAGUGUUCAGUAGGGUAGCUGGCACACAGUAGGCAUCUGAUAAUCAUCAACUCCUUUGACAAUUUAAGAGUAGAGUCCAGGCCCCAAAUUUCUUGCAUAUUCUCAGUGCUUAGUACACAGAAGGGACUUCCUCAAUUGAUGAUCGUAAUAUAGAGCUCACAAAUAACCCAGGAACCUGAGAAAGGGCGGAGCGUGUCUCCAGUCAAUAAUUUCUUUAUUUAAAAGUCUAUGUUAGGCACUCAUGAAACAGCAAUAAAUAAAUAAAUGCCAGGCAUUGUACUAAAUGACCAAGACAUGGUCUAUGUCAAGAAGGUCAAGGCCAAGGACAUCAAAGAGAUGUCUCCAGACAACUUUCAUUCAGGUAUGACACGUUUGACAGAAGUUUAAUAAACAGGGUGCUCAAGGGCACAAAGACUGGACAUGGUGUGGGGUGAGGGAAGGGCUCCACAGAGAGAGGAAUGGUGGGCUUGGGCCUGGCAGGGUGAGUAGUUCUUCCAGUGUAAAAGCUUGGGGUGGUGGGUGGGGGGUGGGAGAGAAAGAGAGAGAGAGAAACAUUUUGUCAUGUGGGAAAACACAUCUGAAGCUAUGGGUGGUCUCGUGGGGUUUAUGGUAGGAGUGAUGGGAGAUAGGGUUAUAAAAACAUGGUAGCUCUCAUACCUCCACAUAGGAGAGGCUGAGGGGCAGCUCUCUGGUGGCAGGGGUGGGGCAGGUGACCUGACCUAGCAACCACUGUUCUUUUUUAUACAUCAUUUAGUUGAUGUGGCUUGGGGAAGAAAUGAUUACUGGUAGUAGUAAUUGGGGGGCAGGGGAGGGGCCAUUCCUGCCAUUCCUAGGCAUGGCCACUGCUACAAUGGGGACCAUAUGACUGCUAUGGAAGAGGAGGAGAGGUGGGAUGAAUGCUGGGGAGUCAACCACAAUUUCCACUACACCUUCAACUAGAGAGACAGAAACAGGUGCAGAGAAGAUUUGAAAGAUUUCAGAGAUGAAUAGGCAGAAUUUGUUGAGAAUGAGUGUAAGUGGGGGGUCAAAGAUAACACCAAGGUUUUUAAUGUGGCCAACGGG